rnacentral:rRNA from 1 species
GUGGGGAAUCUUGCGCAAUGGGCGAAAGCCUGACGCAGCCACGCCGCGUGGGUGAUGAAGGCCUUCGGGUCGUAAAGCCCUGUCGGGAGGGAAGAAAGCCUGCGCAAGCAGGAUUGACGGUACCUCGCAAGAAAGCGCCGGCUAACUCCGUGCCAGCAGCCGCGGUAAUACGGAGGGCGCAAGCGUUGCUCGGAAUUAUUGGGCGUAAAGCGCACGCAGGCGGUUGAUUAAGUCGGAUGUGAAAUCCCCGGGCUCAACCCUGGAAAUGCAUUCGAAACUGGUUGACUUGAGUACGGGAGAGGGAAGCGGAAUUCCUGGUGUAGAGGUGAAAUUCGUAGAUAUCAGGAGGAACACCGGUGGCGAAGGCGGCUUCCUGGCUCGAUACUGACGCUCAUGUGCGAAAGCGUGGGGAGCAAACAGGAUUAGAUACCCCAGUAGUCC